rnacentral:rRNA from 1 species
GCGGAACGAGUUAUCUGAACCUUCGGGGAACGAUAACGGCGUCGAGCGGCGGACGGGUGAGUAAUGCCUAGGAAAUUGCCCUGAUGUGGGGGAUAACCAUUGGAAACGAUGGCUAAUACCGCAUAAUGCCUACGGGCCAAAGAGGGGGACCUUCGGGCCUCUCGCGUCAGGAUAUGCCUAGGUGGGAUUAGCUAGUUGGUGAGGUAAGGGCUCACCAAGGCGACGAUCCCUAGCUGGUCUGAGAGGAUGAUCAGCCACACUGGAACUGAGACACGGUCCAGACUCCUACGGGAGGCAGCAGUGGGGAAUAUUGCACAAUGGGCGCAAGCCUGAUGCAGCCAUGCCGCGUGUGUGAAGAAGGCCUUCGGGUUGUAAAGCACUUUCAGUCGUGAGGAAGGUAGUGUAGUUAAUAGCUGCAUUAUUUGACGUUAGCGACAGAAGAAGCACCGGCUAACUCCGUGCCAGCAGCCGCGGUAAUACGGAGGGUGCGAGCGUUAAUCGGAAUUACUGGGCGUAAAGCGCAUGCAGGUGGUUUGUUAAGUCAGAUGUGAAAGCCCGGGGCUCAACCUCGGAAUUGCAUUUGAAACUGGCAGACUAGAGUACUGUAGAGGGGGGUAGAAUUUCAGGUGUAGCGGUGAAAUGCGUAGAGAUCUGAAGGAAUACCGGUGGCGAAGGCGGCCCCCUGGACAGAUACUGACACUCAGAUGCGAAAGCGUGGGGAGCAAACAGGAUUAGAUACCCUGGUAGUCCACGCCGUAAACGAUGUCUACUUGGAGGUUGUGGCCUUGAGCCGUGGCUUUCGGAGCUAACGCGUUAAGUAGACCGCCUGGGGAGUACGGUCGCAAGAUUAAAACUCAAAUGAAUUGACGGGGGCCCGCACAAGCGGUGGAGCAUGUGGUUUAAUUCGAUGCAACGCGAAGAACCUUACCUACUCUUGACAUCCAGAGAACUUUCCAGAGAUGGAUUGGUGCCUUCGGGAACUCUGAGACAGGUGCUGCAUGGCUGUCGUCAGCUCGUGUUGUGAAAUGUUGGGUUAAGUCCCGCAGCGAGCGCAACCCUUAUCCUUGUUUG